UACAGAGGUCCCAAGCGUUGUUCGGAUUCACUGGGCGUAAAGGGUGCGUAGGCGGUUGGGUAAGUCUGACGUGAAAUCUCCGAGCCUAACUCGGAAACUGCGUUGGAUACUAUCCGGCUAGAGGAAUGGAGGGGAGACUGGAAUACUUGGUGUAGCAGUGAAAUGCGUAGAUAUCAAGUGGAACACCAGUGGCGAAGGCGAGUCUCUGGACAUUUCCUGACGCUGAGGCACGAAAGCCAGGGGAGCAAACGGG
rnacentral:rRNA from 1 species